rnacentral:sRNA from 1 species
AUGGUUCUCAAAGCCGAAUCGUUUUUCUUUCAAAUUUGUUCUCGUUUAAUCAUUGAUGAUAGACUAAGAAAAUUAGGGUUUUUUAUUUUUGGUUUUUGAUAAAGAGAAAGAUGCCUCUUCUUUCAGCAGCAAGAUUAUUCUUGUUAGCUUUGUUCUGGAGGCACAGAUCAAUCGCCAUUAUGAGAGGGAUUUUUUUAUAAUUUGCAGAGUUGUUCUUCCUUCUUUGCUGAUUAUCCCUCUUUGUGGUACAUAA